GGUUGAUCCUGCCAGUAGUCAUAUGCUUGUCUCAAAGAUUAAGCCAUGCAUGUCUAAGUAUAAGCUGCUUAUACUGUGAAACUGCGAAUGGCUCAUUAAAUCAGUUAGAGUUUAUUUGAUGGUACCUUACUACUUGGAUAACCGUAGUAAUUCUAGAGCUAUUACAUGCGUAAAUCCCGACUCACGAAGGGACGUAUUUAUUAGAUCCAAGACCGACCGUGCUUGCACGCUCUUGGUGAAUCAUGAUAACUUCACGAAUCGCAUGGCCUUGUGCCGGCGAUGUUUCAUUCAA
rnacentral:rRNA from 1 species